AGCGAACGCUGGCGGCAGGCUUAACACAUGCAAGUCGAACGGGCAUCUUCGGAUGUCAGUGGCAGACGGGUGAGUAACACGUGGGAACGUACCCUUCGGUUCGGAAUAACUCAGGGAAACUUGAGCUAAUACCGGAUACGCCCUUUUGGGGAAAGGUUUACUGCCGAAGGAUCGGCCCGCGUCUGAUUAGCUUGUUGGUGGGGUAACGGCCUACCAAGGCGACGAUCAGUAGCUGGUCUGAGAGGAUGAUCAGCCACACUGGGACUGAGGCACGGCCCAGACUCCUACGGGAGGCAGCAGUGGGGAAUAUUGGACAAUGGGCGCAAGCCUGAUCCAGCCAUGCCGCGUGAGUGAUGAAGGCCUUAGGGUUGUAAAGCUCUUUUGUCCGGGACGAUAAUGACGGUACCGGAAGAAUAAGCCCCGGCUAACUUCGUG
rnacentral:rRNA from 1 species